AACGGUAUCAUUACUGAAUGCAGUAGAUGCCAGGAUAUUAGCUUUGUAAUUUUCACCUGAAAUCGUUGUAUAAUCACACCAGCUUACUCACCUUCUUUUUAUUGGCCAUUUUUUUUCUUGCUCUCACACAGUAAUAAGUUAAUUUAAUGUAUUUUCCCUCCUUCCAAUUUUUAUUUGAUAAAACAAGAAAUCAAGUGAGUCAGAAGAAUAUUCAAGAACACCCACUUUUUAAAAACUCUCCCGUACUUGGCAAGGAUUUACACACAAUUUGGUUGCAAAUUCAGAAAACAAAUUCUGCUUAAUUCUAGGAAAAUAAUAACACUCAGGUAAUUCCACUGGUAUUAUUCAGUUGGACGCUUUUUCCCCCUCCCUGGCACCGAAGCGGCUGCCGGGGCGCGCUCGGCGGCUGCGCUCCAAGGCGCCGGCUGCCAUGAUUGCGGGCAGCGGGACGCGCGCGCACGCUCGGGCCCGGCUCCGGGACCCUCCGCGGACCGACAGUCGCGGCCUGCCCGCAGCCCUGUGCGCGCUGCGGGCAGCGCGAGGGUCUCCCGGCUUAUUUCCGUGGGACCAGUGUGUAUCGUGGAGCUCUAGACCAGGCACUAGGACAGUACUCGUGGCCGACAGUGGCAGUGGCUUUCCCCAGGGCAAGUCGCGCGCACGGGCGCCCAGCAGCCUCUUCCCGGACACCACCGGCCCCGCGGAGCAAGGGGCGCGGUACCCUUUGGGCUGUGGUGGAGCGGAUCCGGCGAGCGGGAGUGGGAGGACAGCGCACUAUGCCGGAGAUGGCGCAGAAACUGCGGGGAGAAGUUCAAGGCCGCAGCUUUGCUCUCAGCCCGACGGCGACACUGCUGCCUCCAGGCCACACGGUUCUUUCCUGGGCUCCUUCAGGGGAAGGGGAACGCCUGGGCUCCAUGGCCUGGACACUGGUUAG
rnacentral:lncRNA from 1 species